rnacentral:rRNA from 1 species
GCAUAUCAAUAAGCGGAGGAAAAGAAACCAACAGGGAUUGCCCCAGUAACGGCGAGUGAAGCGGCAAGAGCUCAAAUUUGAAAUCUGGCCUCCCCCGGGGGUCCGAGUUGUAAUUUGCAGAGGAUGCUUCGGGCGCGGCCCCCGUCUAAGUUCCUUGGAACAGGACGUCAGAGAGGGUGAGAAUCCCGUCUUGGGCGGGCGGCCCGCGCCCGUGUGAAGCUCCUUCGACGAGUCGAGUUGUUUGGGAAUGCAGCUCUAAGCGGGUGGUAAAUUUCAUCUAAAGCUAAAUACCGGCCGGAGACCGAUAGCGCACAAGUAGAGUGAUCGAAAGGUUAAAAGCACCUUGAAAAGGGAGUUAAACAGCACGUGAAAUUGUUGAAAGGGAAGCGCUUGCGGCCAGACUCGGGGGGCGGGGUUCAGCGGGCGCUCGUCGCCCGUGCACUGCCCGCUCCCCGGGCCAGCAUCAGCUUCGACGGCCGGUCAAAGGCCCCCGGAAUGUGUCGUCUCUAGGGACGUCUUAUAGCCGGGGGUGCAAUGCGGCCCGUCGAGACUGAGGAACGCGCUCCGGCUCGGAUGCUGGCGUAAUGGCCGUAAGCGGCCCGUCUUGAAACACGGACC